AUCUUAUCAAGAGCGGUUGAGGGACUGGCCCUAUGAAACCCAGCAACCUAUACACAAAGUAUAAAGGUGCUAACUCCAGCAGGAAAUUUCCUGAAAGAUAAGAA
rnacentral:ncRNA from 16 species